UACGAAGGGGGGCUAGCGUUGCUCGGAAUCACUGGGCGUAAAGCGCACGUAGGCGGAUUGUUAAGUCAGGGGUGAAAUCCUGGAGCUCAACUCCAGAACUGCCUUUGAUACUGAGGAUCUUGAGUUCGGGAGAGGUGAGUGGAACUGCGAGUGUAGAGGUGAAAUUCGUAGAUAUUCGCAAGAACACCAGUGGCGAAGGCGGCUCACUGGCCCGAUACUGACGCUGAGGCACGAAAGCGUGGGGGAGCAAACAGG
rnacentral:rRNA from 1 species